rnacentral:rRNA from 1 species
GAAUUUGCCCAUUGGUCAGGCUUAACUGUCUGAACUGGUGUGACGAGUUCCUACCUUCUGAGGAACUUUCAUGCCAUUUAUUUGGUGUGAUGGGAAAUCAGGACUGUUACUUUGAAAAAAUUAGAGUGUUUAAAGCAGGCUCACGCUUGAAUACAUUAGCAUGGAAUAAUAAAAUAGGACGGUUUGGUUCUAUUUUGUUGGUUUCUAGGAUCACCGUAAUGAUUAAUAGGGAUAGUUG